rnacentral:tRNA from 1 species
GUUUUAAUAGUUUAAAAAAAACAAUGAUUUUGUAAGUCAUAAUUAGGAUUAACCUUUAAAACU